rnacentral:pre_miRNA from 1 species
AGGAGCAACAACAGUGGCGGCUGCCAGCUCUCGAUCCCUGGAUUCAGCUUCCGCAGUGACUACAGAACUCUCAGUCUGCAGGGGCCUGUGUGCUCCGGGGGCGG